rnacentral:rRNA from 1 species
AAUAUUGGACAUUGGGCGAAAGCCUGAUCCAGCCAUGCCGCGUGUGUGAAGAAGGUCUUCGGAUUGUAAAGCACUUUAAGUUGGGAGGAAGGGUGGUAGGUUAAUACCCGUCAAUUUUGACGUCACCAACAGAAUAAGCACCGGCUAACUUCGCUCGUGCAGCCGCGGUAAUAUGAAGGGUGCAAGCGUUAAUCGGAAUUACUGGGCGUAAAGCGCGCGUAGGUGGUUCGUUAAGUUGGAAGUGAAAGCCCCGGGCUUAACCUGGGAAUUGCUUUCAAAACUGACGAGCUAGAGUACGGUAGAGGGUAGUGGAAUUUCCUGUGUAGCGGUGAAAUGCGUAGAUAUAGGAAGGAACAUCAGUGGCGAAGGCGACUACCUGGACUGAUACUGACACUGAGGUGCGAAAGCGUGGGGAGCAAACAGG